rnacentral:sRNA from 12 species
CAUUUUUCAGAAAGAAUUGGACCUCGAGACCCAGAUCAGGAAGAAAAUGGACAGAAGAAGAAGGGUGAAAAAGUUAAUCUAGUAAUUAGCAACUUGUGAGCUGAACGGGUAUUGGCCACACAGUGAUGAACCCGCACUGGGCCCUUCAACUUCG